AUUGAACGCUGGCGGCAUGCUUUACACAUGCAAGUCGAACGGCAGCACGGACUUCGGUCUGGUGGCGAGUGGCGAACGGGUGAGUAACAUAUCGGAACGUAUCCAAUAAUGGGGGAUAACUAAUCGAAAGGUUGGCUAAUACCGCAUACGCCCUACGGGGGAAAGCUAGGGACCUUCGGGCCUGGCGUUAAUGGAGCGGCCGAUAUCUGAUUAGCUAGUUGGUGGGGUAAAGGCCCACCAAGGCGACGAUCAGUAGCUGGUCUGAGAGGACGACCAGCCACACUGGAACUGAGACACGGUCCAGACUCCUACGGGAGGCAGCAGUGGGGAAUUUUGGACAAUGGGCGCAAGCCUGAUCCAGCCAUUCCGCGUGAGUGAAGAAGGCCUUCGGGUUGUAAAGCUCUUUCGCAAGGGAAGAAAACUUACCCUCUAACAUAGGGUGAGGUUGACGGUACCUUGAUAAGAAGCACCGGCUAACUACGUGCCAGCAGCCGCCGCCG
rnacentral:rRNA from 1 species